CUACGGGAGGCAGCAGUGGGGAAUAUUGCACAAUGGGCGCAAGCCUGAUGCAGCAACGCCGCGUGAGGGAUGACGGCCUUCGGGUUGUAAACCUCUUUUAGCAGGGAAGAAGCGAAAGUGACGGUACCUGCAGAAAAAGCACCGGCUAACUACGUGCCAGCAGCCGCGGUAAUACGUAGGGUGCAAGCGUUGUCCGGAAUUAGUGGGCGUAAAGAGCUCGUAGGCGGUCUGUCCCGUCUGCUGUGAAAAUCCAAGGCUCAACCUUGGACUUGCAGUGGGUACGGGCAGGCUAGAGUGCGGUAGGGGAGAUGGGAAUUCCUGGUGUAGCGGUGGAAUGCGCAGAUAUCAGGAGGAACACCAAUGGCGAAGGCACAUCUCUGGGCUGUAACUGACGCUGAGGAGCGAAAGCGUGGGGAGCGAACAGGAUUAGAUACCCUGGUAGUCCACGCCGUAAACGGUGGGUGCUAGCUGUGGGCCACAUUCCACGUGGUCCGUGACGAAGUUAACACAUUAAGCACCCCGCCUGGGGAGUACGGCCGCAAGGCUAAAACUCAAAG
rnacentral:rRNA from 1 species